rnacentral:tRNA from 1 species
GGUCUAGUGGUUAAAGCACCAGGCUAGAAAACUGGAGACCGUGAAUUCAAAUCUCACCUUAACCA